rnacentral:rRNA from 1 species
UCCCAUUAGCUAGUUGGUAGGGUAACGGCCUACCAAGGCAACGAUGGGUAUCCGAGCUGAGAGGCUGAACGGACACACUGGGACUGAGAUACGGCCCAGACUCCUACGGGAGGCAGCAGGGAGGAAUAUUGGUCAAUGGGGGAAACCCUGAACCAGCAACGCCGCGUGAAGGAAGAAGGCCCUCGGGUUGUAAACUUCUGUUUUCAGGGAAGAAAGAAAUGACGGUACCUGAAGAGGAAGCUCCGGCAAACUACGUGCCAGCAGCCGCGGUAAUACGUAGGGAGCGAGCGUUGUCCGGAAUCACUGGGCGUAAAGGGCGCGUAGGCGGCAUUGCAAGUUGCAUGUGAAAUACCAUGGCUCAACCAUGGGGUGUCAUGCAAAACUGUAAAGCUUGAGUGCAGUAGAGGAAAGCGGAAUUCCUGGUGUAGCGGUAAAAUGCGUAGAGAUCAGGAGGAACACCGGUGGCGAAGGCGGCUUUCUGGGCUGUAACUGACGCUGAGGCGCGAAAGCGUGGGGAGCAAAGAGGAUUAGAUACCCUGGUAGUCCACGCCGUAACCGAAGAAUAUUAGGUGUAGGCCUUUUAAGGUUUGUGCCGGAGCAAACGCAAUAAAUAUUCCGCCUGGGGAGUACGGCCGCAAGGUGAAACUCAAAGGAAUUGACGGGACCCCGCACAAGCAGCGGAGCAUGUUGUUUAAUUCGAAGCAACGCGAAGAACCUUACCAGGGCUUGACAUCCUACAAAUUCCGCAGAGAUGCAGGAGUGCCCUUCGGGGAAUGUAGAGACAGGUGGUGCAUGGUUGUCGUCAGCUCGUGUCGUGAGAUGUUGGGUUAAGUCCCGCAACGAGCGCAACCCUUACAUUUAGUUGCCAGCACGUAACGGUGGGAACUCUAAAUGGACAGCCGGGGUAACCCGGAGGAAGGUGGGGACGACGUCAAAUCAUCAUGCUCCUUAUGUCCUGGGCUACAAACGUGCUACAAUGGCCACAACAAAGGGCAGCAAGACCGCAAGGUGGAGCGAAACCGAUAAAAGUGGCCCCAGUUCGGAUUGAGGGCUGCAACCCGCCCUCAUGAAGUCGGAGUUGCUAGUAAUCGCGAGUCAGCAUAUCGCGGUGAAUACGUUCCCGGGCCUUGCACACACCGCCCGUCA